AGGGAUGGCGGCAGCUUACCAUGCAGUCGAACGAUGAUUAUCUAGCUUGCUAGAUAUGAUUAGUGGCGGACGGGUGAGAAACAUUUAGGAAUCUGCCUAGUAGUGGGGGAUAGCUCGGGGAAACUCGAAUUAAUACCGCAUACGACCUACGGGUGAAAGGGGGCGCAAGCUCUUGCUAUUAGAUGAGCCUAAAUCAGAUUAGCUAGUUGGUGGGGUAAAGGCCCACCAAGGCGACGAUCUGUAACUGGUCUGAGAGGAUGAUCAGUCACACCGGAACUGAGACACGGUCCGGACUCCUACGGGAGGCAGCAGUGGGGAAUAUUGGACAAUGGGGGCAACCCUGAUCCAGCCAUGCCGCGUGUGUGAAGAAGGCCUUUUGGUUGUAAAGCACUUUAAGCAGGGAGGAGAGGCUAAUGGUUAAUACCCAUUAGAUUAGACGUUACCUGCAGAAUAAGCACCGGCUAACUCUGUGCCAGCAGCCGCGGUAAUACAGAGGGUGCGAGCGUUAAUCGGAAUUACUGGGCGUAAAGCGAGUGUAGGUGGCUCAUUAAGUCACAUGUGAAAUCCCCGGGCUUAACCUGGGAACUGCAUGUGAUACUGGUGGUGCUAGAAUAUGUGAGAGGGAAGUAGAAUUCCAGGUGUAGCGGUGAAAUGCGUAGAGAUCUGGAGGAAUACCGAUGGCGAAGGCAGCUUCCUGGCAUAAUAUUGACACUGAGAUUCGAAAGCGUGGGUAGCAAACAGGAUUAGAUACCCUGGUAGUCCACGCCGUAAACGAUGUCUACUAGCCGUUGGGGUCCUUGAGACUUUAGUGGCGCAGUUAACGCGAUAAGUAGACCGCCUGGGGAGUACGGCCGCAAGGUUAAAACUCAAAUGAAUUGACGGGGGCCCGCACAAGCGGUGGAGCAUGUGGUUUAAUUCGAUGCACGCGAAGAACCUUACCUGGUCUUGACAUAGUGAGAAUCUGCAGAGAUGCGGGGAGUGCCUUCGGGAUUCACAUAAC
rnacentral:rRNA from 1 species